GGCAUGGAGGUAACUGUCGCGGCAGGGGCGGGACUUCCUCCCCCUUCACCCUGCUAUACAUGGCUACAGAGGGUCUUUUCAUAACAUUUGAACAAGGCUAAAGAAAAUAGCUAAAGAACAGUAGUGUGGUAAAAUCUGGCAGAGUCUUUUCCUGACAAGAUGGAAGACAUUUCUAGAAACACAUAACACAGAGAAGCAUUAUAUUUAGACCUGGAACCUUUCAACAGGAAGACAGCACCAACCCUUGAUUCACCAUAUUUGGAUUGACAAAAGAGAGAGCCAGGACACAAAUAGAAUGAAAGUGGUUUGGAAACCAGAGCAUAGAAAAAUCAGAUGCAGAACUGCAGGGAUGCAGCAUACUUGUUGCCAAGCAGCAGCAGGAGGAGCAAGGAGACAGCUGAGGGGUGGGGCAUCAGCUCUGAGAGACACCAACAAGAAACGUGGCCACUCUAGAACUGAUGCAUUUUGUGGUUGCUCUGAGCUGCCCUCUCUAUGGUGGUGGGAGGAACUUGCGCACGAGUAUAACCAAACUCCUGUAAAUCGGCUGUUUUGCUUUUGCAAAACAAGAGCAUAGAAGAUACAAUGUUGUAUUACCUGUUGUAUUGUUCUUAUGCCUGUUUUUAUAUGUUUUUUAUAUUUUUUAGCUUGAAGUUUUUAUUGCCUUUUUAUUGUAUGUUUUAACUUUUGUAAACCGCCUUGGGGUUGUCUUUU